CUUAGAUGGAGACGUAAGGUCAAGAUGAAAAAUUAAUUGUUCUAAAGUUAAAGUAAUAUCAAUUUUCAAGUCUUUAAAAAUUUCUGAACGAUAACCCAAGAUUUCUCCCGGACCAUGUCUGUACAUCCAGAGGACUGCUAGAGAAAGUAAACUGAUACAGUGAGCACUAUAUUUUAUUCCCUUUUUUUCUGGGUUGGACUACUCUGCUGUUAUAUACA